UGGGGAAUUUUGGACAAUGGGCGCAAGCCUGAUCCAGCAAUGCCGCGUGCAGGAUGAAGGCCUUCGGGUUGUAAACUGCUUUUGUACGGAGCGAAAAGGUCUGCCCUAAUACGGUGGGCUCAUGACGGUACCGUAAGAAUAAGCACCGGCUAACUACGUGCCAGCAGCCGCGGUAAUACGUAGGGUGCAAGCGUUAAUCGGAAUUACUGGGCGUAAAGCGUGCGCAGGCGGUUAUGCAAGACAGAGGUGAAAUCCCCGGGCUCAACCUGGGAACUGCCUUUGUGACUGCAUAGCUAGAGUACGGUAGAGGGGGAUGGAAUUCCGCGUGUAGCAGUGAAAUGCGUAGAUAUGUGGAGGAACACCGAUGGCGAAGGCAGCCCCCUGGGUCAAGAUUGACGCUCAUGCACGAAAGCGUGGGGAGCAAACA
rnacentral:rRNA from 1 species